AAAAGAGCUGCCUGCAGGUUAACCUCAGACUUAUCUCCACCAUAUGGUACGGUCUGUUUUCACCUUGUGAAUCUGAGGCCCGGGUCAGAUUUCAUACAGUCCUGAGUGAUCUGAUCACAAUUACAGACAGUGAGAUGUUAAAUCUGCUGCAAGGAUGUUACGUUUUUUUUGUUUUUUUUGUUGAUUCUGGCGCCCCCUGUGGACAAAAGCAGAAUGAGCACCACCAUCUUACGUCAUAAAGAUCUCUGUACGGCUGUUGACCUGUUCAGAUCUGUUCGUCAUGCGUCUCCUGUUCCUGUCUGCAUCCCUGCGUCAGUCCUGUUUCUCGUGUUCCCGGCCCAUCGUUGGUUUAUCUUGUGUUUAAACCUUCUUCUUCUUCUUCUUCUUCUUCUUCUUCUGAUUCAAA